rnacentral:sRNA from 1 species
GAGAGGGGGUGACUAGUGACCGAGUGAGGGAGGGAGUGGGUGACUAGUGACAGAGUGAGGAAGGGGGUGACACAGUGAUAGUCACCCCAUUCCUCCCUCUGUCACUAAUCACCACCUCCCUCACUCUCACUAGUCACCCCAUCCCUCCCUCACUCUGUCACUAGUCACACCCUCCCUCUCUCUGUCACUAGUCACACCCUUACUCGCUGUCACUAGUCACACCCUCCCUCUC